UACGUAGGAUGCGAGCGUUGUCCGGAAUUAUUGGGCGUAAAGAGAACGUAGGCGGUUUUUUAAGUUUGGGCUUAAAGACCGGGGCUUAACCCCGGGAAUGGCUCGAAAACUGGGAGACUGGAGGACGUCAGAGGAAAGUGGAAUUCCCAGUGUAGCGGUGAAAUGCGUAGAUAUUGGGAGGAACACCAGUGGCGAAAGCGACUUUCUGGGGCGUUCCUGACGCUGAGGUUCGAAAGCUCGGGGAGCAAACAGG
rnacentral:rRNA from 1 species